rnacentral:rRNA from 1 species
UACGUAGGGUGCGAGCGUUAAUCGGAAUUACUGGGCGUAAAGCGUGCGCAGGCGGUUUUGUAAGCCAGAUGUGAAAUCCCCGGGCUUAACCUGGGAAUGGCAUUUGGGACUGCAAGGCUUGAGUGCGGCAGAGGAGACUGGAAUUCCUAGUGUAGCAGUGAAAUGCGUAGAUAUCAGGAGGAAUACCGAUGGCGAAGGCAGGUCUCUGGGCUGACACUGACGCUCAUGCACGAAAGCGUGGGGAGCAAACAGG